UACGUAGGGUGCAAGCGUUGUCCGGAAUUAUUGGGCGUAAAGAGCUCGUAGGCGGUUUGUCGCGUCUGUCGUGAAAGCUUGGGGCUUAACCCCAAGUCUGCGGUGGAUACGGGCAGACUAGAGGCAGGUAGGGGAGAACGGAAUUCCCGGUGUAGCGGUGAAAUGCGCAGAUAUCAGGAGGAACACCGAUGGCGAAGGCAGGUCUCUGGGCUGUAACUGACGCUGAGGAGCGAAAGCAUGGGGAGCGAACAGG
rnacentral:rRNA from 1 species